rnacentral:lncRNA from 1 species
AUAUAAAUAUAAGAAACAUCAACCAUACAUAGGUAUAGUAUGUUUGAUUAGUCAAGGAAUCAUAUUAAACUGGUAUAAUAUUAAAUUGAGCUUCUUUGCUUCUUUACAAAGGAAAAGGAACUCUCUCAUGAUGCUAAUUCAAAAGUAAUUAAGUACCAAGACGUAAGCAAAGAUCAUUAUUUCCAGCCAAGAUGAACAGUUACCUUUAACUUUGCAACAUAUCUCACAAACUUUAGAGCCAUUCAAGCUGCUAGGUAACAAAUGCAUGCCAACCAAUUCCUAUAACAACUUGAGUAUUUCAAUUGUAAUUCUCAGCCGUGGACACCCAUUCCUUUUUUUCCAUCCUUCACAACUGACCAAUCCAUAAACCAUCAUGUUUCUACUUGUAUACUAUAGGGUGGUAGAAUGAUGGGAGUGGCACAAAGUGAAUUUGAUAGGAAGGUAUAGUGGGAAAACGAGAAGGUAGAUAAGGGGGUUGAACAUUGAUGGAGCAGAGUUGGAGGUACAAAAGAGGCUGGACAGGGUUGGUAGUAGACAUAUGCUUUCAUGAUUAGUCACUUCGAGCCCAGAGAGAAAAAAGAAAUAAUGCUAAAUAAAGCUUUGCAUAUCACUUCAAAGAUGCAGACGUGAAAAAAGAAAAGGUUUUGGAGUUUGUUGUGUAAAAAUUGGAUGCAAGAUAGACUCAACUCCUUCACAGGAAUAAGAUCAAAUUGCAUUUUGCAAAUCAGUGAAUCAAACAACAACAUAUUAAGCUCAAUUUGCAUUUUGAUUUUGAGAAAUGAAACCAAAUCCACCAUUUUUGUUCAACAAAACAACAAGGGCAAUCAAGGGCAAAUGGUGGCCUACCGCAGUGACCUUAUGUUGUGAGAUGGGAAAGGGAAGAGAAAAAGAGACUAGAAGAAUUGGAGAAUUAGGAGAAAUUUGUGUAAGAAAAUAGUUCAAUAAUAUAAAAUCCAUUGUCUACAAUUUAUUUAUUUAUAUAUUUUGGAAAUAAAUCAUCAUUCUCAUCAUAUGAAUCACCGUGAAUAGCAGAUGAAUACAAAUUGAAACAAAAUCCACCCAGUCCUUAAGGAUCGGAACAAGCAUAUAUACCAAGAAAUUUCUAACAAGAAUAUUAGUUGAAAUAGGGAUUUUAGGUACAAUAGAAAGGAAUGGUGUAACCGGAGGGGUGAACCGUGUAAUACAGAGUUGAGCUUGGCCUUGUCUCUGCCUAAAAAAUUUCCUAAAAUAAUAACUUAUAUAUGUUACAAGAAAAUAAAUCAACAUCUCCCAGUAAGAAACCAAUUUACUUCACUAUAGGAAGGUCUCCAUCCCUUCCUCCAGGCUAAAAGUAACUCAGACUCUAGUGACCUAACUAUAAAUAUUGUUGGAGCAAAUGUGGAUCAAGGUAUCAAACCCUUCUUUUAUUAAAAAAGUAUCAUUUGUAAAGGGAUGAUCUUUGCAUUGAACUAUGAAUUGUCAACAACCACAAGACGGUGAAACAACACAAUGAUUCGCCAAAGUAUCUAUAAUAACUUCGGCAGGCUCUACACAAGCAGGAGGGUAAGGAAUGGGUACAAAGGACUAUCCUAACCAAGAUUGAAAACAGGUGAAAAGCCUAAAUAUUGCACAGACCACAUUGAAGAGCUGAUAGUGCGUACAUUGUCUACUGCAAGAGUCUGAAUCUGAGAGGCACGUGGUGGUUUUUCGGUGGUUGGUGGUGGAGGGAGAUGACAGGGUAUAGAUCGGUUAGGCAAUGCAGAUCGGUGGUGUAUGAUCUAAUACACGACUAUAUGUUACGGUGCAUGCCUUUCACGUGCAGACAUUAGAUUGUGAAAGUUUGGACUGAUUUGAUUAGUGACAGGUGUUAGUAAUUGAUUGGGAUAUGGGAUUGGGGUGCAUUGACUGCAAUGGAGCUUGACUCCAAUAGGUCAGAUGGGCACUGGCUGGUAGUGGUGACUAGCAUGGAUUGUUGAUUAGGCUGCAAUUCAUAGGGAUUACGUAGUGUAGAUGUUGGCAAGUCAAAUGGGAUACUAAUUUGGCCAGUUGUUGGUAUUGCCAGUUUAUUAAGCCAAGAGAUUCUGAAAACAGGCAACUUGACAAAUCUUUUCAUACAAAUGAAUUGCGCUCUACAAUUCUGUUCGAUAUAUAGUAAGCAAAUAUUUUUGUUGAACCCUUUUUUGUGCUGAUGAAUAGCUUUCUCCGACGAAUGUACCAUGAAUAAUAAGUUUUCUUUUUCUUUUUCAUUUUUAACUGAUGUGCUAUACUGUUAAUUGUAGAUUUUGAGAAGGGUUUGAUUCGAGGAAAGAGUGUUCUAUGAUGCCAAUUA